rnacentral:misc_RNA from 1 species
GAUGAAGAACGUAGUGAAAUGCGAUAAGUAGUGUGAACUGCAGAAUUCAGUGAAUCAUCGAAUCUUUGAACGCACAUUGCGCCUUCUAGUAUUCUGGGAGGCAUGCCUGUUUGAGCGUCAUUAAACCUCUCUCAAGUAUGAUUACUUGGAUGUGAAGGAAGAGUACCUUAAACUUAAGGAGUGUUCUCCUUUGAAAUUGAUUAGCAGAUGGUAAUGUUAUUAAAUCCCUGAUGUUGUAAGAAAUAACAGUGGUUUUGUAGACUAUUAUCUAGCUUUAAAUUAUAAUUUUUAUUAUGGUUGACCUCAAAUCAGGUAAGGAUACCCGCUGAACUUAAGCAUAUCAAUAAGCGGAGGA